UGCAGUCGAACGGCAGCAUGGGCUUCGGCCUGAUGGCGAGUGGCGAACGGGUGAGUAAUACAUCGGAACGUGCCUAGUAGUGGGGGAUAACUACUCGAAAGAGUAGCUAAUACCGCAUGAGAUCUAAGGAUGAAAGCAGGGGACCUUCGGGCCUUGCGCUACUAGAGCGGCCGAUGGCAGAUUAGGUAGUUGGUGGGAUAAAAGCUUACCAAGCCGACGAUCUGUAGCUGGUCUGAGAGGACGACCAGCCACACUGGGACUGAGACACGGCCCAGACUCCUACGGGAGGCAGCAGUGGGGAAUUUUGGACAAUGGGCGCAAGCCUGAUCCAGCAAUGCCGCGUGCAGGAUGAAGGCCUUCGGGUUGUAAACUGCUUUUGUACGGAACGAAAAGCUUCUGGUUAAUACCUGGGAGUCAUGACGGUACCGUAAGAAUAAGCACCGGCUAACUACGUGCCAGCAGCCGCGGUAAUACGUAGGGUGCGAGCGUUAAUCGGAAUUACUGGGCGUAAAGCGUGCGCAGGCGGUUAUGUAAGACAGAGGUGAAAUCCCCGGGCUCAACCUGGGAACUGCCUUUGUGACUGCAUGGCUAGAGUGCGGCAGAGGGGGAUGGAAUUCCGCGUGUAGCAGUGAAAUGCGUAGAUAUGCGGAGGAACACCGAUGGCGAAGGCAAUCCCCUGGGCCUGCACUGACGCUCAUGCACGAAAGCGUGGGGAGCAAACAGGAUUAGAUACCCUGGUAGUCCACGCCCUAAACGAUGUCAACUGGUUGUUGGGAAUUAACUUUCUCAGUAACGAAGCUAACGCGUGAAGUUGACCGCCUGGGGAGUACGGCCGCAAGGUUGAAACUCAAAGGAUUUGACGGGGACCCGCACAAGCGGUGGAUGAUGUGGUUUAAUUCGAUGCAACGCGAAAACCUUACCCACCUUUGACAUGGCAGGAACUUUCCAGAGAUGGAUUGGUGCUCGAAAGAGACCUGC
rnacentral:rRNA from 1 species